UACGAGGGGGGCGAGCGUUGUUCGGAAUUAUUGGGCGUAAAGGGUGCGUAGGCGGUUCCGCAAGUCCUGUGUGAAAUCUUCGGGCUCAACUCCAGAACUGCCUUUGAUACUGAGGAUCUUGAGUUCGGGAGAGGUGAGUGGAACUGCGAGUGUAGAGGUGAAAUUCGUAGAUAUUCGCAAGAACACCAGUGGCGAAGGCGGCUCACUGGCCCGAUACUGACGCUGAUGCACGAAAGCGUGGGGAGCAAACAGG
rnacentral:rRNA from 1 species